UUCUUAUCAAGAGCAGGCGGAGGGACAAGCCCAAUGAAGCCCGGCAACCGGCUUAACCAUGGUUAAGCACGGUGCUAAUUCUUGCAGCGGAAACGCUGAGAGAUAAGAA
rfam:Geobacillus sp. Y4.1MC1, complete genome.